AGACAAGGUCAUCAGUGCUGCCCUGGAUCAUUAUUUAACCAGACUGUACAGGAGUGUCAAAGCAAGAGAGAUAGUCUUACGACAUUAAUUGAACUAAUAUUUGAUAUCCGGGAAACUAAAUUCAAUUUCCAUCAAUGUUAUUACCUUUAUUAUCGUUACUAAAAAGUAUAUCCUUCUUAUUCACACAGUAUGUCCAGCAGGGUACAUCGGCCUAAACUGUAGUGACAUCUGUCUACCUGGGCUGUAUGGAGUGGAAUGUCAAACAAAAUGUCCAUUAAAGUGUAGCAUAACAUGUGACCAUACGACGGGGAAAUGUUCCGACCAAACAGAAAACCCUUUAACAUCGAUGUUAACAAAUGAAAACACUUCUAUUAAUAGCAAUGCAAACAGUACUUCAUUUGGAUCAUUGUUGAAAGACACAGCAAAUAGGAAGAACAACAUCUUUGACUUAAUAACUGACAAUUCUCUUGUUAGAGAAAACAACGCAUGUCCACCCGGAACGUAUGGAUUCGAUUGUCACUCAUAAUGUCCAAUGGAGUGUAGCAGUGUUUGUGACCACACGACUGGAAAGGUUUUCAUCCAUAAAGAGAGAGACAAGGUCAUCAGUGCUGCCCUGGAUCAUUCUUUA